CUACGGGUGGCUCCAGUGAGGAAUAUUGCACAAUGGGGGAAACCCUGAUGCAGCAACGCCGCGUGGAGGAUGACGCAUUUCGGUGUGUAAACUCCUUUUAUGAGUCAAGAAAAUGACGGUAGCUCAUGAAUAAGCACCGGCUAACUCCGUGCCAGCAGCCGCGGUAAUACGGAGGGUGCAAGCGUUACUCGGAAUCACUGGGCGUAAAGGACGCGUAGGCGGGAUGUCAAGUCAGGUGUGAAACUCUAUGGCUCAACCAUAGAACUGCACUUGAAACUGGCAACCUAGAGUAUGGGAGGGGGAGAUGGAAUUAGUGGUGUAGGGGUAAAAUCCGUAGAUAUCACUAGGAAUACCGAAAGCGAAGGCGAUCUCCUGGAACAUUACUGACGCUAAGGCGUGAAAGCGUGGGGAGCAAACAGGAUUAGAUACCCUAGUAGUC
rnacentral:rRNA from 1 species